rnacentral:rRNA from 1 species
GACGGAGGUGGCAAGCGUUGUUCGGAAUUACUGGGCGUAAAGGGCGCGUAGGCGGCCCGUCAAGUCCCGUGUGAAAGCCCCCGGCUCAACCGGGGAACGGCGCGGGAAACUAGCAGGCUUGAGUUCGGGAGAGGGAAGCGGAAUUCCUGGUGUAGCGGUGGAAUGCGCAGAUAUCAGGAGGAACACCAAGAGCGAAGGCAGCUCGCUGGGACGGUACUGACGCUAAGGCGCGAAAGCGUGGGGAGCGAACAGG